GAUCCUGGCUCAGGAUGAACGCUAGCUACAGGCUUAACACAUGCAAGUCGGGGGGCAUCAGGAAGAAAGCUUGCUUUCUUUGCUGGCGACCGGCGCACGGGUGAGUAACACGUAUCCAACCUACCCUUUACUCGGGGAUAGCCUUUCGAAAGAAAGAUUAAUACCCGAUGGCAUAAUGAUUCCGCAUGGUUUCAUUAUUAAAGGGUUCCGGUAAAGGAUGGGGAUGCGUUCCAUUAGGUUGUUGGUGAGGUAACGGCUC
rnacentral:rRNA from 1 species